GCCCUCGUUGAUUAAAUGGUAAAUCACCCACCGAGAUUAAUGCCACUAAUUCUGUGCAGUGGGAGAUGAAGGUUCGAAUCCUCCCGAGGGCA